rnacentral:tRNA from 1 species
GCGGGCGUGGCGGAAUGGUAGACGCGCUAGACUUAGGAUCUAGUACUUCGGUGUGAAGGUUCAAGUCCUUUCGCCCGCACCA